UUGCGCGAUGACGCGCGAUCAAUACAACUUUCAACAACGGAUCUCUUGGCUCUCGCAUCGAUGAAG
rnacentral:rRNA from 1 species